GGGCCCGUGGCGCAGCUGGUAGCGCACCCCGUUUACACCGGGUAGGUCGUCGGUUCGAGUCCGGCCGGGCCCACGA
rnacentral:tRNA from 1 species